CUACGACCUUCAUUGCUUUCGGUGGGAAACUUUUGGCGUCAGAAUUCGACACGAAGACAUGAGAUGUUUAUCGCUAUGAAAUCACGUUCAAGAAGUCUCAUUCAGCACACAUCGCGAAACUUGCUAUCAGUUCCACAGUUUGGCUGAAAAGACGUAAAGGAAGCCCAGUGGUGUUUCUGUAGAGGGAUUCCUUCAGAAAUUGAGAAGACAGAAAGCUGCGGAGGCAGAUAUUUGCAGCAGGCGACAGCUCGGCCAAUGGAGGGCCUGAUUCCUGACCGACAGCGAGAGGAGAGACUGGCAGGCUCAUGUACCACUCACCCAAUCUUCAAGCUGUGGCUUAAAGACAGACAAGUGUACACACACACACACACACACACACACACCCACACACACCACAGGCCACCAGCACUGAUACUCAGAACAUUCACAUGCAUAAUAUUCAGUAGAUAUCAACCAUGCUGCUCACCACACUCUCCCAGGAAUGAGAUGGGGAGUUUGCAGAGUGAAUUUAGGCCUUGUCUAGUGGGUGUAUUUCUAAGCGGUGGAACCUGCCUUGUCCUGCGUGCCGUGGAUGCCAUGGGUGUUACUGAAGCAGCCACCAGAGGCCAUAUACAUUCCCAAAGCCUCUGGCAUUAAAGCAGAAACAGGACAAACAUCCAUGUUAAUAUUAAUAUAAAAUAUUCAUGUUUAUUUCUACUGCUUAGAUGUUAAUUUAGUGUGCAAGUGGAUUUAUUUUUUCCUGCUAUAUAGUUCCUUUUCAGCCUUUAGGCUGUGUUGUAAUUUAAGGAACUAUUUCUAUAAAAGGUUUUCAAAGCCUUAUAUAAAAAAACAGGGAUAUGCUCUGCCACGUAAACAUUCGUUUUAACAAAAUGAAACGCAACAGAAUAGAAACCAAAAACCAAACAAGAUAGAAAGAGAUCAGUUUAGGCUUUGCUCAGUGAGGGAUUGGGAGUUUAGUUAUUACUAAUUAAAUCUAAAUUCAGACAAAAAUGUGUGUAUAGAUACACAUUUAUAAAAUAUAUCUAAUAAUGUCAUUUUAAAAUAUUUAGAAAACGAGGAAUUAAAUAAAUAUUGGAAACUUUCAAAUAAAUAUUCAUGUUUAGUAAAUAUUUAAUUUAGGUAGUUUAGCUUCCGCGGAUAUUGAAAAAAAAAGGCAACAUCCACUCAAACAAAAGUAGUGAAAUUAUUUACAAUGAAUUGAUGUUUACGUAUUAGUGCUAAAAAACUAAUUUUACUUUCAUCUUUACAGUUUAUCUUUCCGAUUUCUUAUUCUGUAUUUUAAGACAUGACGGAAACCUGAUGUAUUGUAGGAAUGCCCCAUGUAAGAUGUGUAUUUUGCAGGUGGCUAUAGCAUAAACUUGGUAUAAUUUUGGUUUCCAGCUAAACUCUAAAGGCUUCUUUGUCAUCAUAUCUCUGUUGAAAAAGUGUAAAAGUAGGCUACUGUCAGACAGUAUAUUGUAACCAGGCUGCACACUGUGUCCUCUUUUUCUUCCGGAAAGUUUUUCCAUUAACCUUUCUAUCUCAAAUAAAAGCUGCAUUCAUUUUGGUUAUUUUUAGGGCCAAUAUCCAUCCUGAAACAUCAUUCCUCUGUAAUUCUGCACAGGACAACAGAGGUUCGGAAAACCUGAGAACACUCUUGAAAUGGCAACAGGAAACGAGGAGAAAUGAAGCGAGCUCUGUGCCACAGGCUCUUUAUAGAUCCAAGAGUCCCAUCAGCGGUACAGAAUUGUCCAUAAACCCAGCGAUCUCUGCUCAAGUUUCCAUCUACUAAAUUCUAGUCCAGUUAAAUAAGAGCCGGAAUCUUUUUCCAGCAAGUACAUUUAUCUUGUGAAAUGGUCGUAGCAAAAUAUCAAAACAGCAUUUGCUGAGCAUGCAAGAGUUGUUCACUGUACAAACUGUCAGAUGCAAAAAUUUUGCAGAAGUAUAUUCUUAAAAUAAUGUUUUUAAGAUAUGUGAACAGAAACUGUGCCAUGCCAUUGAUUACCAAAGUCAAUGCUUGUGAUUCUUCCAUCAGUUUGUAUAAAUAAAAGUAGCAAUAAUUUACAUUGGAAAUCAAGUCUAUGAGGCGAUGCAUUCAAAAGCAGUGGUUUUACAAGCAUACUUUUUUAAAAAGUUUUAAUUUUAUUAAUUCUUCUAUACAAAGCUGAAUAUUAAUGGAGGUCUAAAGUUUGUCUAAAUCAUCCCUUUAGAGAUUAAAAGCUAUAUAAAGUGUUAUAACUGUUAAACUGGAGCAGGUAUCUACUACUAGGAUGAAUCAAAACUAUACAGCAUCAUCAUGCAGCAUUGCUUUUAUGUGUAUAAGUGUAUAACAUGAGACAAUCCAUUAAUAAUAAACUAGUAAACUCUAUAAUGGAAAAGUU